rnacentral:rRNA from 1 species
GAUGAACGCUAGCGGCAGGCCUAACACAUGCAAGUCGAGGGGUAACUAGAGUGAUAGCAAUAUUACUUUGGCUAGACCGGCGCACGGGUGCGUAACACGUAUGCAACCUACCUUAUACUGGGGAAUAACUUCGAGAAAUCGGCGCUAAUACCCCAUAACAUUGCGAAGAGGCAUCUCUUUGCAAUUAAAGCUCCGGCGGUAUAAGAUGGGCAUGCGUCCAAUUAGCUAGUUGGUGAGGUAACGGCUCACCAAGGCUACGAUUGGUAGGGGUUCUGAGAGGAUGAUCCCCCACACUGGUACUGAGACACGGACCAGACUCGUACGGGAGGCAGCAGUGAGGAAUAUUGCGCAAUGGACGAAAGUCUGACGCAGCCAUGCCGCGUGCAGGAUGACGGCCCUAUGGGUUAUAAACUGCUUUUGUACGGGAAUAAACCCAUCUACGUGUAGGAGGCUGAAGGUACCGUAAGAAUAAGCACCGGCUAACUCCGUGCCAGCCGCCGCAGUAA